GGCUCCAUAGUGUAGUGGUUAGCACGUCUGCUUUACACGCAGAAGGUCCUGGGUUCACGCCCCAGGUGGAGCCA
rfam:Pteropus alecto contig21037, whole genome shotgun sequence.